CUACGGGAGGCAGCAGAGGAGGAUCAUUCGCAAUGGGCGAAAGCCUGACGGUGCGACGCCGCGUGAGGGAUGAAGGCCUUCGGGUCGUAAACCUCUGUCAGGAGUUAAGAACGAUAAGGGCGUUAAUAACGCUCUUGUGUGACAAAGGCUCCAAAGGAAGCGCCGGCUAACUACGUGCCAGCAGCCGCGGUAAUACGUAGGGCGCAAGCGUUACUCGGAAUCACUGGGCAUAAAGGGCGUGUAGGCGGGUGUGUAAGUCCGGUGUGAAAUCCCUCGGCUCAACCGAGGAAGGCCAUUGGAUACUGCACAUCUUGAGUGCGGGAGGGGAGAGUGGAACUCUUGGUGGAGCGGUGAAAUGCGUAGAUAUCAAGAGGAACGCCGGUGGCGAAAGCGGCUCUCUGGCCCGUAACUGACGCUGAGGCGCGAAAGCUAGGGGAGCAAACGGGAUUAGAUACCCCUGU
rnacentral:rRNA from 1 species